rnacentral:snRNA from 1 species
AUCGCUUCUCCACCUUUUGGCUAAGAUCAAGGGUAGUAUCUGUUCUUAUCAGAUAAGCUCUUCAGAGAAACAAAGGAUAAGAAUUCUUUUCCCUUUCUGCUACUUGCCCAGGCUGACCCCCUCACAAAGAAUACCACCAGGCUGGGUGCUGCCUGAUUUCUUGAAAGCUGAAAAUUCAUUCAUUCAACCAACUUCCC